rnacentral:rRNA from 1 species
GAUGAACGCUAGCGGCAGGCUUAACACAUGCAAGUCGAGGGGUAGAGGCUUUCGGGCCUUGAGACCGGCGCACGGGUGCGUAACGCGUAUGCAAUCUGCCUUGUACUGGGGGAUAGCCCAGAGAAAUUUGGAUUAAUACCCCAUAGUAUUUUCGGUUGGCAUCAACUGAUUAUUAAAGUUUUUCGGUACAAGAUGAGCAUGCGUCCCAUUAGCUAGUUGGUAUGGUAACGGCAUACCAAGGCUACGAUGGGUAGGGGUCCUGAGAGGGAGAUCCCCCACACUGGUACUGAGACACGGACCAGACUCCUACGGGAGGCAGCAGUGAGGAAUAUUGGUCAAUGGUCGCAAGACUGAACCAGCCAUGCCGCGUGCAGGAUGAAGCAUCUAUGGUGUGUAAACUGCUUUUGUACGGGAAGAAACACUGCUACGUGUAGCAGCUUGACGGUACCGUAAGAAUAAGGAUCGGCUAACUCCGUGCCAGCCGCCGCUGUAACAC